rnacentral:lncRNA from 1 species
CUCAGAGCCUCACACUAUUCACAGCUCAGCUCCCCGUCUGACCGGCUUUGUUUCCACACACUCGUCUUUCUUGCUCCAAAGAAGUCAGUCAAAUCAGUUUAACACACCUGGUUGGACCAUUACGCGGAGUUCACCCCCCGCUUUCGGGCAGUUUUUGACCACCCGCCUGAGAGUAGAGUGGCGGGUGAAUGUCUGUUCCACCUGAGGCAGGGGAUGAGGAGCGCACAGGAGUUUGCCUUGGACUUCUGGACCCUGGCCGCCAGUGCGGGAUGGAACGACAGGGCCCUGAUUGAUCACUACUGGUGCAGUCUGCGCGAGGAUGUCAGUCGGGAGUUGGCCUGCAGGGACACCACUCUCACGUUUGACCAGCUGGUGGACCUGUCCAUCCGGCUGGAUAACCUGCUGGCUACCUGCGGAUGUCCGGAUUGGGGCCUGUCAGUUCCAUCACCCCAGCACCACCGCUCCGACGCCCAUGGAGCUAGGAGGUGCUGCGCUUAGGGCGACUGGAGGAGGGGCCGUUCCCUGUAACAUCUGUGGCCGCAGAGACCACACUGCUGGUCGGUGCUAGGGAGGUUCCUCUGGGAGUCGAUGCAGCAGGCAGGGCACUCUCAUGUCACCCCAGGCCGGUGGUGGCUGGUCCACUCCAGGAGUCUGAGGUGCGGGAGGUUCCUCCGCCCCCUCUGGACAUCAAGGGGGCCCCGGAGUAUGCUGUUCGAGCCAUACUGGACUCGAGGCGUCGGGCGAGGGGCCUUCAGUACCUUGUGGAGUGGGAGGGGUAUGGUCCGGAGGAGAGAUGCUGGGUGCCGGACGUUUUGGACCCUUUGUUGCUACGGGAGUUCCACUGUCUCCAUCCGGAUCGCCCUGCGCCUCGUCCUCCGGGUCGUCCCCGAGGUCGGUGUCAACGUGCUGCUGGAGCCGCAUGUCAAGGUUGGGGGGGGUACUGUCACGACUUCCGCCGAAGUCGGUCCCUCUCCUUGUUUGGGCGGUGUUCGGCGGUCAACGUCAUCGGCCUUCAAGCCAUCGCCGAUCCACUUUUCAUUUUCCAUUUGUUUUGUCUUUGUUUUACACACCUGGUUUCAAUUCCCCAAUUACAUGUUCAUUAUUUAACCCUCUGUUUUUACCAUGGUUUUUGUGCGUGAUUGUUUUAUGCAUGUUCGGUCCGUUAUUGUGGGCUCGGUAUUACGACAUGUUAUUGGAAUAUUUGAGUAAAG